GCGGUUUAGCGCCUGCCUUUGGCCCAGGGCGUGAUCCUGGAGACCCGGGAUCGAAUCCCACGUCGGGCUCCCAGUGCAUGGAGCCUGCUUCUCCCUCUGCCUGUGUCUCUGCCUCUCUCUCUCUCUCUCACUGUGUGCCUAUCAUAAAUAAGAACUUUAAAAAAAAAAUCACUAAGCAUUUAAGAGUGGAUCAAGCACACUCUAAAGUAGCUCACACCACCUUGCUAAGCCACACCCCCACGGGAUACAGCAGUGAUAAAAAUUAGGCCAUGAACGAAAGUUCGACUAAGCUAUACUAAAGAGGGUUGGUAAAAGUAAAUUUCGUGCCAGCCGCCGCGGUCAUAGGAUUAACCCAAAUAGGCCCACGGCAUAAAGCGUGGUUAAGAUAAUACCGUACUAAAGUUAAAACUUAACUAAGCCAGAAAAAGCUACAGUUACCAUAAAAUAUACUACGAAAGUGACUUUAAAACUUCUGACUACACGGUAGCUAAGAUCCAAACUGGGAUUAGAUACCCCACUAUGCUUAGCCCUAAACAUAAGCUAUUCUAUAACAAAAUAAUUCGCCAGAGAACUACUAGCAACAGCUUAAAACUCAAAGGACUUGGCGGUGCUUUAUACCCCUCUAGAGGAGCCUGUUCUAUAAUCGAUAAAAAAAAAAAAAACAAUAAACCUCACCAUCUCUUGCUAAUGCAGUCUAUAUACCACCAUCUUCAGCAAACCCUUAAAAGGAAGAGUAGUAAGCACAAUCAUGUCGCAUAAAAAAGUUAGGUCAAGGUGUAACUCAUGAGAUGGGGAGAAAUGGGCUACAUUUUCUACUUUAAGAACAUCUUAUGAAAGUUUUUGUGAAAUUAAAAACCGAAGGAGGAUUUAGUAGUAAAUUAAGAAUAGAGAGCUUAAUUGAAUAGGGCCAUGAGGCAUGCACACACCACCCGUCAUCUUCCUCAAGUAAAAACUUCACACAUAACAUAUUAACUAUACCAAAACACGAGAGGAGAUAAGUCGUAGCAAGGUAAGCAUACCGGAAGGUGUGCUUGGAUUAACCAAAGU
rnacentral:ncRNA from 1 species